rnacentral:rRNA from 1 species
CGGGACGGGUGAGUAAUGUCUGGGAAACUGCCUGAUGGAGGGGGGUAACUACUGGAAACGGUAGCUAAUACCGCAUAACGUCGCAAGACCAAAGAGGGGGACCUUAGGGCCUCUUGCCAUCGGAUGUGCCCAGAUGGGAUUAGCUAGUAGGUGGGGUAGCGGCUCACCUAGGCGACGAUCCCUAGCUGGUCUGAGAGGAUGACCAGCCACACUGGAACUGAGACACGGUCCAG